rnacentral:lncRNA from 10 species
GUGCAGUCACUCAUUCACAUCAACAAACAUGUAUCUUGGGCCUGCGGUAUAUAGCAGCACUGGUGAUACCAGCCAGGAAAUCAGCAUGUAGACUGCCCGCUCCGUGGGGCACAUGUGUCGGGGCCUCAGAGAGCAGGAGGAGCUUGUGUGCUUUCUGCUUGGCUGGGGAAACCAAAUACAGGGACAAAGGGACAAGUCACCCAGGCAUCACAAUGUGCUCACACACCUGCAGAUGCACCGCAAGGGUGGACACCGUGUGGGGCCUGGCCUGUGCCCAGCGCUGGGUUAGAAUGUGGCAUUGUCCCUGUCCUAGUGAGCUCACGCCUAGAUGAGGGACGCUCUGGUGAACACACAAUUUAACCUUCAGUAGAAUCCAAGCAGGUAAAUAUCAGGUUUUAGAAGAAGAGAAAGACCACGUUUGGCAAAGAGGCACAUGAUGGCUUUGAAGAUCUGGGAAACGUGGAGCUAGAGGUCCCUUUAAGACAUGGCAGUGAAACGAUGAAACAGGCAAAAGCUGGUUGGAGAGGAGUCAUCAGAGAAGGAGCUUUAAGUGAAUUUCUUGACGAUGGUGCGCGGAUGGAUGGAGGAAGCCUCCUUGCUGAUAUAGAGUUGUGAUCCGGGGUGGAUGGGGGUGCAUAUGUGUUGGGGGAGGGCCGUGGGGAUGGAGGGAGCUGCUCCUGGUGUGGGUGGUGGCCGUGAUUCUGUGGGUUAAUGGAAGGUACUGGGGAUGGUCAACUCUGGUCACGCUUACCCUGCAAUCUGACGGCGCCAGUGCCCACUGACUGGCCCAAAUCACUCUUCUUCAAAGAUUCUGAAAGGGCUGUACAUCUAGAGUAGAUCCAGGGCUUUUGCAGUGUUGGUGACUUAGAAUAAAGAUCUUCAAAUUACGACAUUUUGGGCCUCUGGCUCACUCCCCCAAAGCAAAAUUUGUCCAAUGACAAUCUACAAAACUCAAGUAAGCCUCAUUCUUAAAUGUGACUGGAAAUAUUUAAGAUAAUCUAAAAUAAUCAAAGAGAAUAAAAAUAGCCUAUGAAGAAGCAAUUUAGAAACAAAAUCCUCCCAAUAAUUAGAAUUCUCAGAGAGAUUUAAGGAUAUAAUGCAGCCAUAAAACAUGAACAUGUACUUUAAGAAAACAGCAAUUGUGCCUCAUAAAAGCUCUUGGAAACCUGGAA